GCUUUUAUAGUUGAAAUACAACGAUGGUUUUACAUAUC
rnacentral:tRNA from 1 species